GUCUUCAUGGCGCAGUUGGUUUAGCGCGUUGGUCUCAUAGACUUAAUGUCCAUGACUAGAUGAAAUAAUCUGGGCCAUCCAAAGGUCGCGAGUUCGAGUCUCGCUGAGGACA
rnacentral:tRNA from 1 species